rnacentral:ncRNA from 1 species
AACCCGAAAAGGCAAACCAUCCGAAAGGGUGGGACGCAAAGCUACCGGCCUAAAUCCUGUCUUAGGACAUGGUAGCAGGGCUGCUGAG